rnacentral:rRNA from 1 species
UACUCCUACGGGAGGCAGCAGUGGGGAAUAUUGGGCAAUGGGGGAAACCCUGACCCAGCAACGCCGCGUGAAGGACGAAGGCCUUCGGGUUGUAAACUUCUUUGAUCAGGGACGAAACAAAUGACGGUACCUGAAGAACAAGCCACGGCUAACUACGUGCCAGCAGCCGCGGUA